rnacentral:rRNA from 1 species
GACGAACGCUGGCGGCGUGCUUAACACAUGCAAGUCGAACGGAAAGGCCCUGCUUGCAGGGUACUCGAGUGGCGAACGGGUGAGUAACACGUGGGUGAUCUGCCCUGCACUUCGGGAUAAGCCUGGGAAACUGGGUCUAAUACCGGAUAGGAGCCAUUUUUAGUGUGAUGGUUGGAAAGUUUUUUCGGUGUAGGAUGAGCUCGCGGCCUAUCAGCUUGUUGGUGGGGUAUUGGCCUACGAAGGCGGCGACGGGUAGCCGGCCUGAGAGGGUGGACGGCUCUAUGAGUGAGGAGAUGCGCGCCAGACUGCGACGGGAAGCAGCAGUGGAGAAUACUGCACGAGGGGCACAAGGCUGCUGCAGCGACGCGGGGUGGAGGAUGGCCGUCUUGGUGUUGGAAACUCCUAUCACGAGGGAAGAAGCUUGUUUUGACGGUACCUGGAUAAGAAGCACCGGCUAACUACGUG